GUGGGAUGACUAUUAAUUAGCUUGAACUAUGGCUCCAGUGCUAUGACAUACAGCAGAAGAGGACUAUCAAUAGAGGGUGCCACUCUGAUGCUCGCUUAUGAACUUCCUCAAUCAGACCACUUUCUUACCAGCAUUAGAUGCCAAAAUGUACUCUACCUCAUAUUGGCUACGAUAUGUUACUUGAAAUUUUUUUAGUAGAUUGCUCCUUCAUUUCGGAUAAACACAUAGCCAGACACACUUUUGCCAUUAUCAUGAUCUAAUUAAAAUUGGAAUCAAUAUAUCCUAUAAGUUUCAAAUCAAUAUCUCCAU
rnacentral:lncRNA from 1 species